GCGCGUUUUACAUAGAUAAGUGCCAUAGAUCCGAUUCCACAAUGAUACCACUCGGACUAUUUAUUUAUUUAUUACUUUAAAAGCAUGCAAUCUGGAUUUAAAUAUAUAUACUUGCCCUGUGACCAGGAUGUUCAUAGGCAAUGACUGACAAUCCUUACAGCAAGAGGCUGAAGGUACCCGAGACUUUGGAGCACACUCCUGGCUGAAAUGAGAGCUUCAGCAUCCCUGGCAGCCUUCAGGAAAGAAUCCAUUCCCAGUUAUGGAUGCUGUUGGAUUGAUGGGCUGUAGAAAAAAACAAGAGAAAGUUCUUCUGUGUCCAUCCCCACUGAAAUGAACAGAGGCUGUGCAAGAGCAGUGCUUUGAGCACCUCCCAUUCAUUUUAGUGAGAUCUGUGCAGCAGAUCUUCCCACUGGAUUGCACCCUAGGUGCACAAGUCCAAGUCCAAAUA